ensembl:lncRNA
AAAGUUGCAUUUAAUACCUGCUGUAAAGUUUAAAUGCUCUGGUGUGUUACAGGGGGAACCAGGUCCUGACGGCAUUGCUGGCUUUCCUGGAGAUCGUGGCCUGCAGGGGAAACCAGGGAAAGAUGGGCCACCAGGUCCCAAAGGAGAUGAUGGAGAAAGUGGAAUUGAAGGGGAAAUAGGGGAGCCUGGUCUACCAGGACCUGCAGUA